rnacentral:rRNA from 1 species
AACGAACGCUGGCGGCAUGCCUAACACAUGCAAGUCGAACGAGACCUUCGGGUCUAGUGGCGCACGGGUGCGUAACGCGUGGGAACCUGCCCUUAGGUUCGGAAUAACUCCCCGAAAGGGGUGCUAAUACCGGAUAAUGUCUUCGGACCAAAGAUUUAUCGCCUUUGGAUGGGCCCGCGUUGGAUUAGCUAGUUGGUAGGGUAAAAGCCUACCAAGGCGACGAUCCAUAGCUGGUCUGAGAGGAUGAUCAGCCACACUGGGACUGAGACACGGCCCAGACUCCUACGGGAGGCAGCAGUAGGGAAUAUUGGACAAUGGGCGAGAGCCUGAUCCAGCAAUGCCGCGUGAGUGAUGAAGGCCUUAGGGUUGUAAAGCUCUUUUACCCGGGAUGAUAAUGACAGUACCGGGAGAAUAAGCUCCGGCUAACUCCGUG